rnacentral:RNase_P_RNA from 1 species
GGAGGAGGCCGGGGGACCGCCCUAAAACGGGAGGAAAGUCCGAGCUCCAAAGGGCAAGGUGCCACCUAACGGGUGGGCGCGGAAACGCGGCGGAAAGGGCCACAGAAACAAGACAGCCGAUGGUUCAAGUUGUAUUGAAUCAGGCUACGGUGAAACCGUGGGGUAAAAGCCCACGUCCUUUGCUGGCAACAGCAGAGGAGGUAACCCCCACCUGGAGCAAGGUCAAGCAGGGACAAAGGAGUUGCCCGCUCCAAUCUGGCGAAAUGUUGGAGAAGUCCCGGGUAGACCGCUAAAGCCAACCGGUGACGUUUGGCUCAGAGAAAUGGUUCCCCUCAGACAGAACUCGGCUUAUAGGCCUCCUCCAAAU